GACGAACGCUGGCGGCGUGCUUAACACAUGCAAGUCGAACGGAAAGGCCCUGCUUUUGUGGGGUGCUCGAGUGGCGAACGGGUGAGUAACACGUGAGUAACCUGCCCUUGACUUUGGGAUAACUUCAGGAAACUGGGGCUAAUACCGGAUAGGAGCUCCUGCUGCAUGGUGGGGGUUGGAAAGUUUCGGCGGUUGGGGAUGGACUCGCGGCUUAUCCGCUUGUUGGUGGGGUAGUGGCUUACCAAGGCUUUGAAGGGUAGCCGGCCUGAGAGGGUGACCGGCCACCUUGGGACUGCGAUACGGCCCAGACUCCUACGGGAGGCAGCAGUGGGGAAUAUUGCACAAUGGGCGGAAGCCUGAUGCAGCAACGCCGCGUGCGGGAUGACGGCCUUCGGGUUGUAAACCGCUUUCGCCUGUGACGAAGCGUGAGUGACGGUAAUGGGUAAAGAAGCACCGGCUAACUACGUG
rnacentral:rRNA from 1 species